CUUAUGUGUAAUCUCUCCAAUUUAUAAGGAAACAUGACAUUAUUUAUGAAAUACAGAAUAGGUUAAUAAUUAUCAAAGGAAGAAAAUAGCUGGCUGAAUAGUUAGCCUUUCUUGCCGCUGCCAUAAUUGCCUCGUGAUGAGGCAUCAUGCCCGUGAUUUGCUGUCGGCUCAUUGUAAUCAUUAAGCGUCACUUUCAGAGAUCUUCCUCCAUUUCUUACUAAUGCCAUCUCAUCCUCUGAGCCGAAAAUGGUGUCACGACCGCCACACACCACCGCAAAAGCAAGCAACAGACACAAACACAGGCGAAUUCCAAGACCCAUGUCUCUCUCUCCCUUAAAUAUUUUAUGUUGAAACUUGAAACGAAGGGACUGCCUUCUAUCCUUAUUUAUGGGGCGCCAAAUUUUGUUGCAAUGCCA
rnacentral:misc_RNA from 1 species